AUGAUGAUUGAAGCGAGGUUAAUGCAGAAACUUCCCGAUGAUUGCAGAGAGAGAGGGCGGUUGAAAUCAGGAACCAAAUUCUUUAAUAGCUUGGAAGGGGCGUCAACAGGAAGCGAAUUAUUCAAUGCUUUGCAAACUCAGGAAGAAGAUUUUGCCUUGAGUCGACUCGGGGCCCUGGGUUGUGCAAAUCUGAGCAGCAGGUUGGUAUCAGGGCUAUUAAUAGCAUACCAUUGGACUUGUCCUAAAGGUGCAGCCGCUUAUGCAUUGUUAUGGUUGGUCUUUGGAAGCAGGAAGUAG